AAAAAAAUUGGAAGCGAUGGAUCCCUGGUUUUAAUUGACGCUUGACCAGGGAGGAGCUAGUAGCGUAACCAGCCAGAUGGUCG
rnacentral:ncRNA from 1 species